rnacentral:rRNA from 1 species
AACUGAGAAGUGAAACCCCCACACUGACCCUGAGAUACGGGCCAGAGUCCAACCGGAGGCAACGGGAGAAAAUAUGGCGCAAUGGAGGCAACUGUGACACAACCGUGCCACGAGCGGGAAGAACGUUUUACGCGGAGUAAACUGCUUGUAUACAGNNNNNNNUACACCGUGAAAGGCAAGCCGACGGCCCUAUAUGAACAAACGCCGGCAAACUCCCUGCCAACAACCGCGGUAAUACGGAGGGUGCAAGCACAGUCCGGACUUAUGGGAAAUCAAGGAUGCGAACGCCGGAAAUGACUUCGAUGCUGAAAGACUGGCGCGCAACAAAUGCAUGGCCAUCGACACUGGUAGACUUGAAUGACAUAGAUGUACCUAGAAUGAAUAGUGUAGCGGGGAACAUGCUGGAUCUUAUCCGAAACACAAGUUGCAUAGGCUAGUUACUAAAUCUCGACUGACACUGAGGCACGACAGUGCGUGUAUCAUAAUUGAUUAGAGACGCUGAUAUUGCACACUGGAGACGAUGAUAACUAACUGUUG